AUUUCCAUUUUGAGGGAAGAGCUCCGUAGAGGAAAGGUGUGGUGGGGGGUGGGGGUGCCGGAAGGUCCAGGGCGGGGCGGGGGUGCCGGCCGGGGUGGAACUAGGAACUGGCCCCGGCUCGCGGCCCGGCCGCUGCCCCCUGCUGGGGCGAGCCCGACGCGCGGUGCGGAGCGGGCGAGGGGGCGUGUGUGCGGCCGCUCCUGGGGGGGCUGGUCCCCUCGGAGCCCGGGACUGCCGUGGCGGCCCCGCGCGCCCGGGCCCCUGCGCACCCGGGAGUGGGGGUCCCCGCCCCCCGCCCGCCGGGCCCCCGGCGGUUGCCAUGGUGACGCAGGGUCGGCGGCUCGGCGCAGUGGAAACAAAGCGGCCCGCCCGCUCCCGGCCGAGCUCCUCCUCCGCGGCGCCUCCCUCCCUCGCUCGCUCCCUCGCUCGGUCCCUCCGGGUCCCGCCGCCGCCGCCGCCGCCGCCGCCGCCGCGGGCCAGGUAAGGCGAGCGCGCCUGCGGCCGGGGAGGGCUGGGGGCCGCGCCCCCGACGCCCCGGGGCCUCCCCGCGCCUCCCGCUCCCCGACGGCCGCCGAGCAUCCCGGGCGCUGCGCGGGGCCCGGGGCUCCCUCCGCCCGGCCGGCCGCGGGGACUGUGCCCCCGGGGACCGCGGCGUUUGCCGCCCUUCGGACGCGCCUGCCUCCCCGCUGGUCCUGUUUGAGGACGGGGCGGGAGGGGGAGGCUCGCAGGGCCAAGAAGCCACACAUUUCUUUUUUUUUUUUUUUUUUUUUUUUUUGCAGUUUCUGGAAAGUGAGCCCAUACUUCGGUGCCCACGACCCGAAGCCUUCGGGUGCUCCCGAAGUUCACUUGGAUUUCGAGCACGGCCACCUUUGUGGAAGGUGCAGUUACACCUGUAAGGGGACGGGGAGGGGAGCCGCGUUUCCCACCCAGGCAACGAGCCGAGUCGGUGCAGCCGCAGGACCGUGGGGGACCUCUCAUGUGGCCUUUGUAAAUGUGGGUUUGCGACAGAGUGAAUGUAGAAGCUGAAAAUGCCUGGAAGAUUCCUGGUUUCUGUUGCUACAUGCCCUGCCUUUUUGCAUCACCGCCUGAUUCGGAUGAGGUGAUGUUCAGAGGGACGCCUUAAUCGACACUGUUGUCAGCGAGUGGCCUCUAGCUAGA
rnacentral:lncRNA from 1 species